UGGGUUGGCAUUGUCAUCCCUCUCCAAUUUUUCCCUUCUCUAUUUUAUUCUCUUCUCUUCUAUUUCAUUCAUUCUUCAUAGCAAUCUUUUAUUUCAUUUCAUUUUCUUUUUAGAAAACACAACACACACACACUCACUGUCUACUCUCUAUCUAGUUUCUUGGAAACACAGUCUCACAAUCUCUGUACACAAACUUCUCAGUUUCUUUUCUUUGAUUCUGACGAACCCACAAGAACAGGAUUGACAUAGUUGCUGGAGCUGAAGUUUGAAGACGAUGGUGACGGUGAUGGUGAUGAUGAUGAUGAUGAUGAUGAUGAGUAGUCUUUUUUGAGAGAUGUUCUCAAAGAGUUCACUGAACUUUUGAGUGAGUGUUUGACUAAUGUUUGAAGGGUUGUUGGGGUUUUCAUAAAUGGUUGUUGGGUUCUACAUCUUUCUUGGGUAGUUUUUUGAAUGCUUAUUUUAUUUUAUUUUUAGUUUUGUCUGUGCACUGAAUAUUCCGUAAAGCCAACUCGCCUCUUCGUUCUCAUAUAUUUAUGUUGUAUGUUCUCUUCAAUUAUAUCAUUCAGCAAUAGUUUUUAAUGGUUUCAGCAACAGUUUUUAACGGUCUCUCUCUCUGUCUCAAAGUCUCCUCAUUUUAGGUAGUCGGAUUUUCCUACUUACACUGACCUUUCUGGUUCUCAAAAGUUCCUUCUUAGUGGGAAAUUCUUUAGCUAUUAAUGGUAAUCAGUGAGUAUGUGCUCUUAGUGUCAUUGAAUUCCCAUUUUAGUUGUUUCUGUACUAUGAUCAAAGUUUAAUCAUUUUACACACUAGACUUGAUGAUGCAAACUCAUGAACUUUAAUCUCUGCAGUGAUUUGGGUUGCUGAUAAGAGUAUCGGAUCUGGGUUAGAGUUGGAAGAGUGGUUGAUUUGUUAUCUUAGUUGGAAAAUUCAUCGAAAAGAUGAAGAGCGCUGCGUUUGUGGCUAUUGCUGCUGCAAUUGGUAACUUCUUGCAAGGUUGGGAUAAUGCCACUAUUGCAGUUUGCUUCCCCUCCUUG